AACACGAGGGCUUCUAGGCUUACCAGGUCCCAGGGCUGGCCCUGCAAUGGCUUGUAUGCUCUCCGCUGCGGGCUGGGUUGUGCUAGGAAGCUCAGGUGCACAUGGUAGCCGGUAGAGGUGCUGCUGCAUUUAAACAGGGCACACAGCCUCCAGCCAUGGCUCCUCCCCUGGUGAGAAUCCUUUGCAUAGAGUCAGGAAAUCUCCCAGGGGAGAUCUCCCAGGCUCGAAUUCUCAGGGAGCGAUGCUGCCCACCAUCUGGUCCUAAGCCCACUUGCCAUGGUGGAAAAGAUGGUGAUCCUUAGGGGUUAAGGGGGAUUAGGAAAAGCACAGGUUUUGCCUACAGGCGCUGCUGGAAGAUUUGGAUUUGUAUCUCUUUCAGGAUUUAUUAACUGCGUAUUUGAAUACGGAGACUGAUUUGCCUAUUAACCACCUCAGCACCCUGAGCAGCCAAGAAAACAAGCCUGAGCCAUGAAGCCAGGUGCGGCUUCUUCCUUACUCCCAUCCCUGCGGAGAGAGUAGAUCCAAUGGGCAGAGCCACCAGCCAAGGGAGCUGUGUGUAGGGCCCGCAGAUUUGGUCCCAUUGGGAAGUCAGUGGGUCGGUCAGCCAAUCAACAUGGAGCCUACAGGGAUGGAAAGACGUUUAUUUCUAGGACUUAACAUUCAGAAAGAUGAAUGAAUACAGGGCAAGAGAGAAAAAAUUAAGAUAGGUAAUUUCAGAUACAUUGAAGGUUGAUUUUGAACUUAAAAUGUAUAGAACUUCAUUCACAAUAAAAAGAAGAGACCUCAUUCAUUCAGUCAGUCAACAUUUAUUGAGCAUCUAUUGAGUCAGGCACUGGGACUGCAAAGAUGAAUAAAACAGCCCUUGUGCCCCAGGAUCUCGCAGUCCGGCAGGGAAGACAGAGCCCAGAAGCUAAUGGUCAGACAAUGUGAAAAAUGGUCCAAAUGCUGUGAAAACCAGCAGAAUGUGGUAGUUCUCCCCUGAGAGGGUGGAGUGGAGGCUUCCUAGACCAGGUGCCCUGUGAGCUGCUUAGCUGCUUGGGAGAGCAAAGAGGAGCUUGUGAGGCAGAGAGGGUCGGGUGUUCCUGGGUGGGGAGCGCCUGCAAGGAGCUGGUGGGAGGGCUCAGUGUCCUGGGAUGGCAGGAGAGCCAGCGUGGAGCAUGAAACUCAAGGAUGCCACCAUAAGGAGGGGGCAUCUCCUUAAGCAGGACGGUGAUGGGAUAGGCUCUGCUUGAGGGAGAUGACCGGAGGCAGCAGCACGGGAUGGGCCUGGAGCAGUGAGACUCUAAGCGGGGGCAUGUGCAUGAGAGAUGCUCAGGACCCCAGGUGAAGCCAUGCAAGGUGGACAGAGAGGAGGACCUGACCGUAGAGACGCUGCUAAGGCAGGAGCGACAGGACUGAUUGGACAUGGGCAUGAGCCUGAGGAGGGGUCGGGGGUGUCGCUGAGGCUGGGUGGGGAGUGAGGCCUGUGCCUGGGCUGAAGCCUGAAGCUUGAAGGCUGGGACUGGUGUUCCCAGGUUGUGGGCAGUGGCUCCCUGCUGCAGCCUGCCAAGGAACGGACAGCUCGCCCACUGGCUUUAGAAUCCACCCCGCUGGGAGGGCAGGACUUUUUGGCUGAGACUGUGGUGCCAGGGAACCAGCGCUCUUUGGCUUAUGUCAGAAGAUGGGAGGUCAGGUCUGGCUUCGCUACUUGAGCUGGCUUUUAAAAAUGGGGGCCCCAGGAGAGAACCAAGAUGGCGGCAUAGGUUA